GUUUUAAUAGUUUAAUAAAAAAUAUUGGUCUUGUAAACCAAAGAUAAGGCAUCUUUUAAAAUA
rnacentral:tRNA from 2 species